rnacentral:rRNA from 1 species
CCCUUAGAUGUCCUGGGCCGCACGCGCGCUACACUGAUGCAUUCAACGAGUUGUAACCUUGGCCGAGAGGCCUGGGCAAUCUUUUGAACGUGCAUCGUGAUAGGGAUAGAUUAUUGCAAUUUUUAAUCUUGAACGAGGAAUUCCUAGUAAACGCAGAUCAUCAAUCUGCAUUGAUUACGUCCCUGCCCUUUGCACACACCGCCCGUCGCACCUACCGAUUGAAUGGUCCGGUGAAGCCUCGGGAUUGUGAUGAGUUCCCUUUAUUGGGAGUUUGUUGCGAGAACUUGUCUAAACCUUAUCAUUUAGAGGAAGGUGAANUCGUAGCA